rnacentral:rRNA from 1 species
UACGUAGGUGGCAAGCGUUGUCCGGAUUUACUGGGCGUAAAGAGCGCGCAGGCGGCUGGUCAAGUCCGAUGUGAAAUCUCCCGGCUUAACUGGGAAACUGCAUCGGAAACUGAUCGGCUUGAAGGUGGGAGAGGGUAGUGGAAUUCCCGGUGUAGUGGUGGAAUGCGUAGAUAUCGGGAGGAACACCAGUGGCGAAGGCGACUACCUGGCCCAUUCUUGACGCUGAGGCGCGAAAGCUAGGGGAGCGAACGGG